UGGUUCGUAACUCUAUUGGAUCAGAGUACCGGUCUUUUACACCGGGAGUUCAGGGUUCGAGUCCCUGCGGGCCAA
rnacentral:tRNA from 1 species